rnacentral:tRNA from 1 species
GGUGUCGCCAAGCGGUGAAGGCAUCGGACUUUGACUCCGAGAUUCGCAGGUUCAAAUCCCGCCACC